UGGCGGCGCGCUUAACACAUGCAAGUCGCACGAGAAAAGGGCAACCUGAGUAAAGUGGCGUACGGGUGAGUAACACGUGGAUCAUCUACCUUUUAGUGGGGAAUACCCCCGGGAAACUGGGGACAAUACCGCAUAAGCUCGUGAGAGGAAAGCAGCAAUGCGCUGAAAGAAGAGUCCGCGGCUGAUUAGCUAGUUGGUGAGGUAACGGCCCACCAAGGCGAAGAUCGGUAGCCGGCCUGAGAGGGCACACGGCCACACUGGCACUGAAACACGGGCCAGACUCCUACGGGAGGCAGCAGUGGGGAAUCUUGCACAAUGGAGGAAACUCUGAUGCAGCGACGCCGCGUGAGCGAUGAAGCCCUUCGGGGUGUAAAGCUCUUUCGACGGGAACGAUAAUGACGGUACCCGAAGAAGAAGCUGCGGCUAACUACGUGCCAGCAGCCGCGGUAAUACGUAGGCAGCAAGCGUUGUUCGGAAUUACUGGGCGUAAAGAGUGUGUAGGCGGUGAUCUAAGUUUGUUGUGAAAUCUCCCGGCUUAACUGGGAGGGUGCGGCGAAAACUGGAUUGCUUGA
rnacentral:rRNA from 1 species